rnacentral:rRNA from 1 species
CCUACGGGAGGCAGCAGUGAGGAAUAUUGGUCAAUGGCCGGAAGUCUGAACCAGCCAAGCCGCGUGCAGGACGACGGCGCUAUGCAUUGUAAACUUCUUUUGUCAGGGGAUAAAAUCAGGCACGUGAGUCUGAUUGAGGGUACCUGAAGAAUAAGCAUCGGCUAACUCCGUGCCAGCAGCCGCGGUAAUACGGAGGAUGCGAGCGUUAUCCGGAUUUAUUGGGUUUAAAGGGUGCGUAGGCGGGUUGUUAAGUUAGCGGUGAAAGCCCGGGGCUCAACCCCGGCAGUGCCGUUGAUACUGGCUGGCUAGAGUUGAGGAGAGGUAGGCGGAAUGCGCGGUGUAGCGGUGAAAUGCUUAGAGAUUACACAGAACUCCGAUUGCGAAGGCAGCUUACC